GUGCUCACUUCAGCAGCACAUAUGUUAAAAUUAGAACGAUAUAGAGAAGAUUAGCAUGUCCCUUGCACAAGGAUGACAUGCAAAUUCAUGAAGCAUUCCAUAUUUUU
ensembl:snRNA U6 U6 spliceosomal RNA